CAGGAAACAGGAGAAGAAAGGUGCAACCCAGUCUCUUCUCUGGCUCCCUAGAUUGUCAAUUUCUGCAGAGAGCAUGGACUGUUUCUGCUUCACUCCCUUGAGCAAGAUCCUUCCACAUCACCACGUGCGGAUUAGCAUUUAAUAAGUGUUUGUGAAGAUGACGGAUGAUGCGGCCAGUGCACUUGGUAAUUUAGAGCAGGCUGUGUUGGUAGUAAGAGGUUUUAUUUCCUUCCUGUGGAAACCCCUUCUCUGCUUGACUUUUCUUGUUGAUGAAUGA
rnacentral:lncRNA from 1 species